rnacentral:lncRNA from 1 species
CCCACAGACACGACACUCCGCACAGAUGCACACAAUCACCCAUACGUGCUCAAGCUACCUGAAAGACCUGCUAAUAUCCCUAUACCCUUCUAUUUCCAACAGUUCUCGGUACCUAUUGAAUUUGAAGAUCAAGAAGGAACCCGAAGAAGAAAAGAACAAAGAUGGAGUCAUCAGGAAGAACCUGGAUAGGAUUCAGGUUUCAGCCACUACUCCACUAUCCUCAAACCUAUCCAGGUGCAGCCAAAGUUCCUGCAGAGUCGUCGGUUCGGGCCCAGACGGGUCAAGGCAGGGAUCGAAGCGAGACGGGAGGAGGCGAGAGAAGCUGCACCUGGUCUCGGACAGGAGGACGUUGCGUACGGGAGCUGUACAUCGGUCAGGAGCUGAGCAACCACCUUCGCGAGCCCCGGGCGAUAAGUGCAGUCUCAAGGGGCACGCUGCAGAACAACGGUGGUGGCAUCUCACGGAGCCUGCCGGGCGUCGUGCUGGGACCGUGAUCCCGCCUUCGCGACAGCCCACCCCUAAUGGACAAGCACAAAGUGAAAAGACAGCGGCUGGACAGGAUUUGUGAAGAUGUUUGAGUGCUGCAAAAGAUUUGAAAGUGGACUUUAAUUUACCUUGAACAUUUGUCGUUGCAUGCUAUAACCUUGAAUCACCCUUGUUAAGUGAAUCAGACUUGUGAAGUUGCUAAUUGUUUUUGGAUAUUUUUAGCUAUAUUUGCUACCCACACCUUUUAUUCUGCCCUGGUUUCAAAAACUUAACACUUGUGUUCUGAAAGCUGAGGCUGUUUAUGGUAUUCCAUUUCCUGUCACAUUUACUAUUCUUAUUAAAUGAGAUUUCUACUGGGACAGUUUCUUGUGAAGAUUAAUUUUUGGAUAGCUUCCUGAAUGCUCAUUAUACUGGCUGCAGCACCUGGAAGUUUGUAAAACGGUUGGAUCUGGACAUUUGAUCAUAAAAAAGAAAAAAGAGAAAUGACGAUGCGAGUAAUCCGGUUUUUUGCUGAACUUUGGUUUGCAGCUUUUUGUUGGGCCUUAUUCUGGCUCUUCAAUCGAUAUGCUUUGUGUUUUACAUGAGCAAAUAAAACCCGAGGCUCAGUUGGGGGGGG